AUUGAACGCUGGCGGCAUGCCUUACACAUGCAAGUCGAACGGCAGCACGGGAGCAAUCCUGGUGGCGAGUGGCGAACGAGUGAGUAAUGUAUCGGAACGUGCCUAGUUGUGGGGGAUAACGUAGAGAAAUUUACGCUAAUACCGCAUACGAUCUAUGGAUGAAAGCGGGGGAUCGCAAGACCUCGCGCAGUUAGAGCGGCCGAUAUCAGAUUAGGUUGUUGGUGGGGUAAAAGCUCACCAAGCCGACGAUCUGUAGCUGGUUUGAGAGAACGACCAGCCACACUGGGACUGAGACACGGCCCAGACUCCUACGGGAAGCAGCAGUGGGGAAUUUUGGACAAUGGGGGCAACCCUGAUCCAGCAAUGCCGCGUGCAGGAAGAAGGCCUUCGGGUUGUAAACUGCUUUUGUACGGAACGAAACGGUCCUUUCUAAUACAGAGGGCUAAUGACGGUACCGUAAGAAUAAGCACCGGCUAACUACGUGCCAGCAGCCGCCGUAA
rnacentral:rRNA from 1 species